rnacentral:rRNA from 1 species
GACAGAGGUGCCGAGCGUUAGGCGGAAUCACUGGGCUUAAAGCGUGUGUAGGCGGGUCGUUAAGUGUCUUGUGAAAUCCCACCGCUCAACGGUGGAACCGCUGGGCAUACUGGCGAUCUUGAGCAGUCCAGGGGCGAGCGGAACAAGCGGUGGAGCGGUGAAAUGCGUAGAUAUCGGGAAGAACACCCGUGGCGAAGGCGGCUCUCUGGGACGGUACUGACGCUGAGACGCGAAAGCGUGGGGAGCGAACAGG